CGAACCGUCCCAACGUUAUUCGGAAUUAUUGGGCUUAAAGGGUAUGUAGGCGGCGCUGUUAGUCGGGUGUGAAAUCCCUCGGCUCAACCGAGGAAUUGCGCCCGAAACUGCAGUGCUUGAGGGAGACAGAGGUAAGCGGAACUGAUGGUGGAGCGGUGAAAUGCGUUGAUAUCAUCAGGAACACCGGUGGCGAAAGCGGCUUACUGGGUCUCUUCUGACGCUGAGAUACGAAAGCUAGGGGAGCGAAGGGGAUUAGAUACCCCCGUAGUCCUAGCUGUAAACGAUGAGCACUUGGUCGGGGAUCCCCUCAUAGGUUCUCGGCCGUAGCGAAAGUGUCAAGUGCUCCGCCUGGGGAGUAUGGUCGCAAGGCUG
rnacentral:rRNA from 1 species